rnacentral:rRNA from 1 species
UACGAAGGGUGCAAACGUUGCUCGGAAUUAUUGGGCGUAAAGCGCACGUAGGCGGCUUUGCAAGUCGGAUGUGAAAUCCCUCGGCUCAACCAAGGAAGUGCAUCCGAAACUGCAGAGCUUGAGUACCAAAGAGGAUCGCGGAAUUCCCGGUGUAGAGGUGAAAUUCGUAGAUAUUCGGAGGAACACCAGUGGCGAAGGCGGCUCACUGGUCCAUUACUGACGCUGAGGUGCGAAAGCGUGGGGAGCAAACAGG